ACCCUCACCCUUUAAAACCGGAUCGCUGUAAUGCUGACAUUACUGCUUGGCGGCAGAAAUAGGUAAGGUGGCAGUACUGCCCUGGACGAACUCUUUCACGUGGAGCUCUACUGCUACUAGCAGUAGUGUCGAUAUUCGGUCUAUACUUUUGCAAGACAUUGACUUUAGACAUGUUCAUUACAUAUAAAUAUUAUUGGCAAUGGUAUGCACAGUAAGAAAUUUGCAUUUUUCAUUUUGUUGCGAAAAAAGCAUUUUGUCAACUUGGUAAAUAUUUUAUGCUGCUAUAGCAUAGUUUUUUAGGUAAACACUUGCAAGUAUAUUAAAUAUUUUAAUGGAAUUUGGUAAGUAAUAUUGCCUGUAAGAUAUGUACAUUUAAAUAACAUUGUUUUGUAACAUUUACAUUAAAAUUGUUAUCAAAAUGGCAGUAUUUUUAUAAAUAAAAGAAGUAAUAAAUUUUUUUAAGACCAUGUUCUUUGAGUACCAGCGCUCACCAGUAUUUAUUUCGAUAUUUCACAAUUUUUACGACAGUUUUAUCUGAAAAGUUCGAACGGAUUUAAAGUUUCCACGAUAAACUAGUAGUUGAAUAAACAAUGUUUCAUAUUGUUAUGUAAAACGAAUACAAUUGCCUAUUACUCAUUGCGAAUAAUGUAGUUUACUAAAGUAUGUAUUUGGUACAGAGGAAAUGUGUAAUUCUCAUGAUUUGUUUCCUUUCUUAUGUGUCAUCAGACGUGAUUGAUUCCGAGCGUUCGUCAUUCCUCGGCUUCACGCACGAAGUUUCUAUCAGCGUAAGCAGCCUGGAGUUGGUAGAUGAGUUGCAGAGCGCUGUUUUCCAGCAGGGUCGAGGCGACAGGCGCGUGCGACGAUAUUUCGACUCCUAUGACACGCCCUUUGUUGGCACUAUCCGAAAGAAGAUGACUUACCCUUUACAGAGCGUUUAGUAGGUACCAUGCUCUACAACUUUCGACUUAUCUUAAUAUUACAAUUGAAUAAAUAUUGACAAAUUAAA